UGAAGUAAAAGUCGUAACAAGGUUUCCGUAGGUGAACCUGCGGAAGGAUCAUUAUCAUAUCAUCCUCGUUAAACUAUGUUGAACUGUACCGCUGUUGUGAGGAAUUUGUGUAGCUUCGGCUAUCGUUUUUCACCUAAGCAUGUUAUCAUACACCCUAAUUGAACCCAUCUAUACCUUUGUACUAACCAUCUCCUACUCUUGUGAAAUAAUCUUGAGAUGAGAUAAAUACGAAAUAUAAGAACAACUCUUAGCAACGGAUAUCUUGGCUCUC
rnacentral:misc_RNA from 1 species